AUAAAAGGACUGGGGAUGUAGUCUAGUAUAGAGUACCCGAAUUCUCUCUCUAGUUUUUAAGGAAAAAAGAAAGUUACAUUUGCAAACUUUAGACUUAGACAGCCUUGUUUUGAGCCCUAACAUUACCAUGUAUGCAUUUAGGUUGGCUAGGGAUAGAACAGUUUCUUUACCAGUGAAAUGGGGAAAGUGUUAUUUGGAGGAAAUAAGUGAGAUGAUGUACAUAAAGUGCCAGGUAUCCAUUAUGACACUGUGGAGUGGCUAACAUACCACCAUCAUCUGCACCAUCAUCAAAGGCUUUGUGAUGUAAGCAAGCACUUACUGCCUGGAUGGCCCCACAGGGAGCAGAACACUGAACACCCAGAAGGUAUGCGCAAAGCUUUAGGCUGAUUGUAGAAGCCAGACCAAAUACCAGGAAGGUACUGCAGCAAGAUGGACUUGGGAGAGGAUCAGCCUCAUUUGCAACUCUAUCAGACACCUGACCAGCCUCGAGGAGAGACCUUUGCUCCAGAAAUCAUUGGAACUUGGAGUUUGCGGAACCGAGAACAACUCAGAAAAAGAAAAGCUGAAGCACAAAAGACUCAAACUUUACAAUGGACAUUUGGAGAACAGAAAAAACGCAAGUGGCAGAACACAGGAAAAGGAAAGCAAAGAGGCCGGAAGAGACAACAGCACGCGGAGCCAAAGAUAAAGCCUCAGGCACAAAUAGCAAAGGAGAUGAUGGAGGAAGCACUGGUACCUACAGAGAAAGAAAAUGAGCCGCCUGGAAGAGUAGCUGAAGCCCCUGCUUUGGUAACUUCCCCAAAAAACACUGUGUCGGAGGAACAUUCUUCAGAACUAUCUCAAGAAAGCAUUACACAACAGGAAAAUUCUCCUGAGUACCAAGACAUAGUGGUACAAAACCAUUCUUCUGAAACAUGCCAACACAGGGCUGAAUCUGAAGACCUCGCUCCUGAAAUGUGCCAAGAGGUAGCUGUACUUCAAGACCAUUCUUCCAAAUUUUGUCAAGAGGUGGCUCAGCCUGAAGUCCUUGCUCCUGAAACAUGCCAAGAAUCAGCUGUGAUUCAAGCUCGUCCUUUCAAAAUAUGGCAGGAUAUAGUUCAGUCUGAAGUCCUUGUUCCUAAAAUGUGCCAAGAAACAGCUGUUCCCAAAGCCCCUUAUUCCAUAACCCAUGAAGUUGUCGCUGACCAGGAAAGAUGUACCCCUGAAGCAUCCUUCAAAGUGGAUGUGCCCAAAGACUACCCAGAGGACACAGACCCAGACACAGCUGGACUAGAAAAGCCCACUUUGGAACAAGAUCAAGCUAAGUCAGAAGGCUCAUUUCUUCAAACACAAGAAAUAACUCUGCCUAAAGACCUUUCUUCAAAAACAUAUCAAGAAACAAUUGAGCCUGAGUACUUUUCUCAUGAAACAUAUAAAGAAGUGAGUGUGCCUAACAGUACCUUUCAUAAAACAAUCCAAGAAACACCCGAGCAUGAAGAAUAUUCACCUGAAAUAAACCAAGAAACACUUGGGCCUGAAGACUAUUCACCAGAAACCUACCAAGGAACACACGAGCCCGAAGACCUCUCUACUAAGACAUAUAAAAAUGAGAAUGCAUCUAAAGAAUACCUUCCAGAACCAUACCAAGAAACAGGCAAGCCCCAAGGCCAGGAUCCUAAAGUACAUGGAGAAGACUCUAACGAUGUUUGUACUCCUCCUCAAGAAAUGAAAGAAAAACCCAAAGUAGAAGAACCAGAAGUACCAGCAAUUCCACAUGUUCCUCAAGAGACUGGUCCAGAAAAUGAUGCGUAUAACUAUGUUUUGUUUUAA
ensembl:lincRNA